rnacentral:rRNA from 1 species
GACACGGCUGGCGGCGUGCCUAACACAUGCAAGUCGAACGGAGAUUAUUGAUGAAGCUUGCGAUUUAAUAAUCUUAGUGGCGGACGGGUGAGUAACGCGUGGGUAACCUGCCCAUAAGAGGGGGAUAACAGCUGGAAACGGCUGCUAAUACCGCAUACGCUUUCCGGGACACAAGUGCCGGAAAGGAAAGAUGGCCUCUACAUGUAAGCUAUCACUUAUGGAUGGACCCGCGUCUGAUUAGCUAGUUGGUGGGGUAGAAGCCUACCAAGGCGACGAUCAGUAGCCGGCCUGAGAGGGUGGACGGCCACACUGGGACUGAGACACGGCCCAGACUCCUACGGGAGGCAGCAGUGGGGAAUAUUGCGCAAUGGGGGGAACCCUGACGCAGCAACGCCGCGUGGAGGAAGAAGGUCUUCGGAUUGUAAACUCCUGUCUUCUGGGACGAAUAAUGACGGUACCAGAGGAGGAAGCCACGGCUAACUACGUG